rnacentral:tRNA from 4 species
GCGAGGACGGCCAGGUUGGCGGCGACGCCCCACAGGCGCCGCUGGAGAUGGGGUGGGUGACGGUAGGCGAGCAUGCCGCCCACCUCGUU